AGCACUUGGUCUUUCCGGGACUUGAACUGGUGACCUUCCAGUUGCCAAGCCCCUAUGGACUUCGCCACCACCGCCCGAUGGUUCUAAGAACAAGGAAGAGUGUGUUGGAGUUGGUAUAUAUAUAUCCCAGACUUUAAAAUAUCAAUUUCAAAAAGAGCGUCAGAUCAAUUAUCAGUGUGCAACAGAAAUGCUGGCUGUAAUAAUAGGAUUACAGUGGGUUGAAGAGGUCAGACCAGAUAGGGUGGUGAUAUGCACAGAUUCAUUAUCCAUUUUAAAAAGUAUACAGUCAACAACAACUAUCAGAGAAGAAUUACUCAUAUAACUUAAUCUAGGAAAUCAUGAUAGCUAGACUCAGACUGGAUCACACAGCAUUGAAUGUUACUCUAUGUCGUAGGAACUGUGGAGUUAAAAAAAAUGUGGAACAUAUCAUAUUACACUGCAACAUGUACAAAACAGAGAGGGAAAAACUAAGAGACAGGGAGAGUGGAGCCUGAUGGGGAUACUGGGAACAGAAGGUGAGGGGGUAAGAGCUACCAGGAAGGCCAUUCUUAAGUAUUUGAGUGAAAAAGGAUUGAUUGGAAGAAUUGAAAACAACGUAAACACAGUGGUAUAAUUCCACAAGUGCUGACAGGAUGAUAUGUUGAUACACGCUCUUGUACAGUAGGGGGCGGUAUGCACCUUAAAGUUGUUUGCAAUCCGCCAAAAAACCGAGAGAAGAAGAAGAAGAACGAUUAUACAUCCAUGGAAGGACCAGACACAUGGCAGCAACGUUCCCAUCUGCUUCAUUCAUUUCUCCUGUUCAACCGAUAAUAAACCUGGUUGACAAGAAGGAAGUCGUUUUCAUUCGACACAACGCAGAGAUACAUGUGGCGUCAAUCCAGACCGGUUACACAAAGAAUGAUAAAUAGAGAAAACAGAUAUAAUUUGCUUAUUAUCUGAUUACCAGCUCUGCACAGCGGACUUGUAACACUAGCAGCAGUGGAGAUGGAGCAUCAGAACCUGGAGGCUUCUACUCUCCUGAAGAAGAAGAAUACAGCAACAAGGAUCCAUUUGAAGAUAGAUUUCAGCUGCCUGGGCCUAGCAGCAAGAACCUCCAUCUGUCCCUGCCCCCAGGUCAAGAUCUACCGUGGCUCAAGGGCCUUCACCGCAAAGGACCAGAGGACCAUCAUCACUACAGUGGCCUCCAUCUCCAUCUGCCACAAGAUUAAGAUACACCUCGGGACAAAGGCCUCCACCACAGCCAUCACGAUCAACCCAGCCAGCAAAGAAGUCUCGCCUAGCACCGCCUCGGUGAGACUCCAGAAAGCAUGGAGCAAGAGACAAUUUCCCUUUUGGCAGAACAACAGAAAAGAAACAACCGGCAAUCAAUAAAAGAAAAGAUGGCGAAGGCGUUUGGAUACUGAAGACAAGAAAUAGUGCAUCGGAGGCCAAGCAUUGAAGGCCUCUUGGAGCGGUGGCCUGCACUUUUUCACAUGGAAGAGGUAAAUGCUGAGUUAAUGCGCAUAACAACAAUUCCAUUGGAGACAAAGUUCUUGGCGCAGUUGGACAAACACUCAGGUCAUCAGGAGCAGGGGAGGAGUUGUGAAACAGAAGACCACCGGGAUCUUGCAGGUUUUGGAUGAGACUGUGGACAUCGCCAUCAGAAGAGAAUGCGUCCUCAAAUCUCUAAUGAUCUACCUGGGUGAACCUGUUGACCAUCUCAUCAAAGAAUUCCAGGACGCUGAGGCUGGAGAACUGGAGCAGGCAACAAUGGAAGCCUUUGACACUGGGAAAGAGGAUCAGCUUCAUCGACCCAAAGACGUCAAGGUUCUCAUCGAAGGAACAGAGGUCCUCAGCGGCUUGCCCUCGGUUGCGACAGCUUUUGCCAUGCUCUUCGGGCUCAUAUACGCACUGAAAUGGGGCGAAGCCUGCGAGCUAGUUCAGGCAGUCAACUCGAGCACUUAUGCUGCAUUCAUACAUAACGCCCCCUUGCCACUCUACAACCAACCAAACAGAGUCUCCUUAAUAUGCCGCUCUAUUUAACCUGCCAGAUCUCUCUCCAUGCAUUGCUUGCUGCUGCUAUUGCUGCAGAUACCUCUACGUCGCUGCUGCUCGCUGCCCCACCACCACCCCAGCUUCCACCUGUAGGCUCGGGGGUUAGUUAUUUGAUCAUCACUCAUCGUGCUAUGUAUAUCUAUGGAGUGAUGAUGCCCGAGCCUAGUCGCCAAACUCAACUAUAUGCUGCUUCUAAUAAACAUGUUAAAGGAACACGUGAGUUGUCUGACUGAACUUAAGAUAUCAGAAAUAACUGCAAUCCACUUUUGAAGUUGUGCAAAAAGUCCUGAUGGAGGGGAAAAAGAUGAGCCCAAAAGUGAAUAGACUGAGAACCCAGCUGGUAGACACUUUGUUGCACUCACUCACAGUUACCAUUGUUACAUGGUAAGGUUUCUAAAACCAAGGUUUUAUAAUAAUUAUGCAUUGUAAAACAUUUGCGAAAAAGUGUUCAGAAGUUGCACUUACAGUAUGACCGAUUUUCACUGUAGAAGUUAUGCAUGUCUAAUCAUUUUCAGAGAUUACAUGUCUCACAGGCGCACGUUGUCAGUGUUGCUUUAAAAAAGUGUGCAGUGGAUAAUAAGGACAUGUCUUUUUUCUAAGAGUUUGAUGUUUGGAAGCGGCCCACGUAUUACCGCAUUUUAACUGUGGUACUUAUUAACAUGUCUAAGAUCAGGUAAUGGCUGCCUCAGAGGCCAAAGCUGGUUGUGUGAACAACUUGUUUUUCAUUCAAAUAAAUGUGCUCUGGUGUUAAAAUAUACAGAUUGAUCUGAAGAAAUUGAGUCAAUGUAAAAUAUUUCGUGUGAUUGAUUACUCUAAUAUUUUUUUGUUGGUACAACGUUUUACUUUUAUUAGUGUACCUUUUAGUUGCAUUGCACUCC